CGAUGAAAAUAUUUCAUCUCCCCCCAAAACUUUCUCUUCUCUUUCAAAAAUAUUUACCCUCUCUAAACUCAUCUCCCCCGAAAUUCCCACCACCGGCAUUCAUCUCCCCCCAAAACUGUUUGAUGUUCCUAAAGUGAAACUAUGUGCGCCUAUUUCUGAGUAUGUUUUAGGUGGGUUUGUUGAUUAGCUUGCUAAGCAGUCCUUGUUACCAGCGGCGUUCUCCAGGUAGGCGACGCCGUCCAGUUAAACCACCGGAGCAGCCACCAGCCGCCGCCGACUGAACAGUGAGCUGGGUUGUCAAUUGCCGGAGUUAAGGAAGAUUUGCUAGAUACAAGAAAGUAGCAGCAGAGAAAUCUAUGUGGGUCAGUUUGCUUGUGAUUUGAAACUUGAUGGAUAUUAGAUCUCUUCUACUCUUUUUUAACCGACAGUAUAGUUCGAGCGCACUUGGAGGGCCUGUUUUGAAAUUUUCCAAGCAUAUAUGUUUGUUUCUCUUCUAAAUUAUAUCUUCUUCUUUGGUUUUCUUUUCAAGUGUUAGUUUCUCUUUUAUUUAAAAAGAAAAAAUAAUUAAAUGUCAAUUAGGCAGGACUAAUGUAAAACAACAUACCCAUUAUAAUUUUACAAGUGGGGUUUGAGGAGGGUAUUGUGUAUACAGACCUUAUCACAAGUUGAUUGGAAGUUAUAAUAAAAAUUGAUAGACAAAGAAAUCUAGUAGUCUGAUAAUGUCUUUCACUAGAUCCAUAUCUGGUUAAGUACUUAUUUGGUUAUUGGUGGUAAACUGUAAAAUAUAUGUGUGAAAUAUCACAUUAUAUUACUUGAUCUAUUUUGCUAAGUUGCGUGCUUCUUUGAGAUGAGAUAAAUUAGUAUAGAAAAUGGGUCUUUAUUAUACUGACAUCUUUCCUCUUUGUCAUUCAAUAUCAGAUCUAGGAAAGAAAAAGAAAACACUUCUAAAGAUAGGUUAUUGUCUCCCUCAGAGAAUAUAAUAAUGAUUAACUGUUAUUAUUAGUAGUUAAUUCUUUUUUAACCACUUGUGUCAUCUAGAUAGUUGUUAAAUAUAAUAUAAAGUAUGUUAUGUCACUACUAAAAAAAUAGUGAAAAUCGACCAACAAUUUCGACCGCACGAGGUCACAUAACUAGAAAGAUUAAAUUUCACAUAUUUGUAUCACUUUGGAAACUUAAAUAUCCAAAAGUUUUACCUUUUAAAUAAUACUUAUUGAACUAACUAGAUUACACUACAACAGAAAAAUAGGAUCUUGAUCCUUAUAUGGGUUUUAAUAUAACGGUUAAACAGACUAAUGAUUUUUUAUUUUCAUUUCAUUUUUACUUGUGGCUCGUUUGGCUAUGAAAU